CAGUCGAGCGAGCUUGCCUAGAUGAUUUUAGUGCUUGCACUAAAUGAAACUAGAUACAAGCGAGCGGCGGACGGGUGAGUAACACGUGGGUAACCUGCCCAAGAGACUGGGAUAACACCUGGAAACAGAUGCUAAUACCGGAUAACAACACUAGACGCAUGUCUAGAGUUUGAAAGAUGGUUCUGCUAUCACUCUUGGAUGGACCUGCGGUGCAUUAGCUAGUUGGUAAGGUAACGGCUUACCAAGGCAAUGAUGCAUAGCCGAGUUGAGAGACUGAUCGGCCACAUUGGGACUGAGACACGGCCCAAACUCCUACGGGAGGCAGCAGUAGGGAAUCUUCCACAAUGGACGAAAGUCUGAUGGAGCAACGCCGCGUGAGUGAAGAAGGGUUUCGGCUCGUAAAGCUCUGUUGGUAGUGAAGAAAGAUAGAGGUAGUAACUGGCCUUUAUUUGACGGUAAUUACUUAGAAAGUCACGGCUAACUACGUGCCAGCAGCCGCGGUAAUACGUAGGUGGCAAGCGUUGUCCGGAUUUAUUGGGCGUAAAGCGAGUGCAGGCGGUUCAAUAAGUCUGAUGUGAAAGCCUUCGGCUCAACCGGAGAAUUGCAUCAGAAACUGUUGAACUUGAGUGCAGAAGAGGAGAGUGGAACUCCAUGUGUAGCGGUGGAAUGCGUAGAUAUAUGGAAGAACACCAGUGGCGAAGGCGGCUCUCUGGUCUGCAACUGACGCUGAGGCUCGAAAGCAUGGGUAGCGAACAGGAUUAGGUACCCUGGUAGUCCAUGC
rnacentral:rRNA from 1 species